GUGAAUCAUCGAAUCUUUGAACGCACCUUGCACUCCUUGGUAUUCCGAGGAGUAUGCCUGUUUGAGUGUCAUGGUAUUCUCAACCUCUAAAGCUUUUGCAAUAGAGGCUUGGAUGUGGAGGUCGUGUUGGCGCAAGUCAACUCCUCUGAAAUGCAUUAGUGUGAAUCUUACGGAUCGCCUCCAGUGUGAUAAGUAUCUACGCUGUGGUGUUGAAGUAUAUAGGCAUUCAUGCUUCUAAUCGUCUCUUCAUUGAGACAAUUACUUGACAAUCUGACCUCAAAUCAGGUAGGACUACCCGCUGAACUUAAGCAUAUCAAUAAGCGGAGGA
rnacentral:misc_RNA from 1 species